AUUGAACGCUGGCGGCAGGCCUAACACAUGCAAGUCGAACGGUAACAGGGAGAAGCUUGCUUCUUUGCUGACGAGUGGCGGACGGGAGAGUAAUGUCUGGGAAACUGCCUGAUGGAGGGGGAUAACUACUGGAAACGGUAGCUAAUACCGCAUAACGUCGCAAGACCAAAGAGGGGGACCUUCGGGCCUCUUGCCAUCGGAUGUGCCCAGAUGGGAUUAGCUAGUAGGUGGGGUAACGGCUCACCUAGGCGACGAUCCCUAGCUGGUCUGAGAGGAUGACCAGCCACACUGGAACUGAGACACGGUCCAGACUCCUACGGGAGGCAGCAGUGGGGAAUAUUGCACAAUGGGCGCAAGCCUGAUGCAGCCAUGCCGCGUGUAUGAAGAAGGCCUUCGGGUUGUAAAGUACUUUCAGCGGGGAGGAAGGGAGUAAAGUUAAUACCUUUGCUCAUUGACGUUACCCGCAGAAGAAGCACCGGCUAACUCCGUG
rnacentral:rRNA from 1 species